GGUAAUCUUAUUAGGCCGCUAUAAUGAUUAUAAACUAUGUUGUAUUCUUGUAUAUAUAUAACAUUUUGAUUUAUUCCGACAAAUAUAUUUAAGUGCUUAUAAACAAUAUAAACAAUAGCCUAUAGCUGUGUAUCAACAUUUUAUUAUUAAAAGUUCUAAUAAUGGGUGACUAUCCGUACAUCGUCUUGAUAACGGCCACCGCAUGUAUUAAUACAUAUACCUAUUCAGCUGUUAUUUAGAUAGAUGUGAAAAGAGACAGAGAGAGAGAGAUAAAGAAAAUACUAAAAAUAAUCAACAACAAUUCAUCACGUGCAUAGACCUAGCCACUUCGAUCAUGAUUAACCUCGCUGAAUAUUAAUGUAUUUUUUUUUUGUUCGACAGCAACACAGGGUUGGACCUUAACAAUGGAUCGUUAUUCUGAAUACCAAAGUAUUAUAAUAUGUAUAAUGAAUAUAUAGGUACUAUAUAGUGUAUACAUGUAUUUAAUAAUAUCUUGCGGCUCAAAGGAUUCACCUAAUACGCGUUUUUAAUCAGAUGAAUUAUCAUAUAAUAUUUUUACAUGAAAUUAAACGUUCGUAUUGUCCACCGGGAAGAAGAUUGAUGUAUCAUGCGAUAGCGCACGUGAUGUUGACUUGAACUUGGCAGGAUUCUAAUAAAAACAAGACCAAUUCGGUUGGAAAUAUACAAUAUAAUACUUAUAUAUUACCAAGAAGAUUCGUAAAUGUAUUUGACACGUGCAUUCAAUGACAAUAUAAGUACCUGCCAAUAUCAUACUAUGUACGUAAAUUAUAAAAUGAUAGUAUAUUGCGUUUCGAAUUCGACAAAUAGCGGACGUUGUAUUUUGAAUUUUGUGAAAUUUCUAUUGUUGCUUCUGCUGAACGAUGAGACGAAUAAUCAUUCCGACGCGGAAUCGUGUUUGGAAUGCCUGGUGUUGGAAAAAAAAGGAAAACGAUAGUAAUAAAUAAUAAUAAUACGAUAGCACAAUAUAUCCACCCAAGUCGCACGCAUCCCAAAACAGCGAUUUAUUUGAGCCUACAACGUGCGAAGAAUCUCUGCUGAUUUUUGUGUUUUUUAGCUGUAUGUUUAUAUGAUAAUAUUUAUUAAUUUAUGAUAUUCGUUGAUCGUGAUUGAAACUGUAUAUAAAUGACAAAUUAAUAAUUAUAUGGUUUUGUCAUUUGCUAAGUCUCACGCUCAAUACUACCCAUACAAUUAAUGUAGCUUCAUAAUUAUUUGUAUACAUGCAGACACAGAAUAAAGGAGCACAGAAUGUUACACUAUUUGGUGCUUAUUUGUUUAGGUGAUGGAGAAUUUGCGUUUUCCUAGUAUCUUUGCAUGCGCUCAGUUCAAUCAUCUGUUCGUGCAAAUUGCAAAACUCCGUUGACUGCAUCGGCACGGCACUUUCCAGUGUCAUUAUUAGGCAAUAACCAUUUAACAGUACUUAACAAUAUUUCCGACAUUUUAAAUAAUCAAAAAUAAUGGCAGAGAAUAUAAAAUGAAUAUAGACCUUUUAAGAUGCUCCAGAUCUUCGGCUAUGGAAUCGUAUAAUACUACAAGGUCAUAAUAUAGUGUAUAAAGAUUCAUUUAAUUUGCAAAACGGAUUGUACAAGUAAUCGAUGUAGGUACCUACUUAUAAAAAAAUAAUGCAUUACGUAAUUCAAAGUUGCAUACACAUCUAGUUAUAACAAUAAACAAGAUUAAUUUGAUUUGUGUGUUCAUCUAGUCAAUGUUGUAAAUACGUAUAUAUAUUAUAUAUAUUGACAAGUAUAUUUGAUUUAUACUUCAUUGAAUACAUUAUAUCUGAUAAAGUCUCAGCAUUGACAUUGGCGCUAAUGUUAUUGUCUUGGCACCUACCCGUUAUUACCAAAAAAUUACAUCACUGACGUUAAGUGGUUAAGUAGUAAAAAAUGAACACACAUACACAGUUUUACUUUACACACAUGUACACAAUAAUUAUUCUCAUAUAUAAUUUAUUAUAACCAUAUAUUAUAUUGCA